CGUACACUCCUACGGGAGGCAGCAGUGGGGAAUUUUACGCAAUGGGGGAAACCCUGACGUAGCGACACCGCGUGAGCGAAGAAGCCCUUUGGGGUGUAAAGCUCUGUCAGCUGGAACGAAAACAAUGACGGUACCAGCAGAGGAAGCAUCGGCUAACUACGUGCCAGCAGCCGCGGUAAGACGUAGGAUGCGAGCGUUGUCCGGAUUUAUUGGGCGUAAAGAGUUCGUAGGUGGUUUGUUAAGUUUGGUGUUAAAGAUCGGGGCUCAACCCUGGGACUGCACUGAAUACUGGCAGACUCGAGUGUGGUAGAGGCUAGUGGAAUUCCCAGUGUAGCGGUGAAAUGCGUAGAUAUUGGGAAGAACACCGGUGGCGUAGGCGACUAGCUGGGCCAUAACUGACGCUGAGGAACGAAAGCCAGGGGAGCGAAUGGGAUUAGAAACCCGGGUAGUCCCAUG
rnacentral:rRNA from 1 species